rnacentral:rRNA from 1 species
GAAUAUUGCGCAAUGGCCGCAAGGCUGACGCAGCGACGCCGCGUGUGGGAUGACGGCCUUCGGGUUGUAAACCACUGUCGGGAGGGACGAAUACUUGGCUUGCCAAGGGUGACGGUACCUCCAAAGGAAGCACCGGCCAACUCCCUGCCAGCAGCCGCGGUAAUACGGAGGGUGCGAGCGUUGUCCGGAAUCACUGGGCGUAAAGGGCGCGUAGGCGGUUCGCUAAGUGGCUGGUGAAAUCCCGGGGCUCAACUCCGGGGCUGCCGGUCAGACUGGCGGACUAGAGCACGGUAGAGGCGGAUGGAAUUCCCGGUGUAGCGGUGGAAUGCGUAGAUAUCGGGAAGAAUACCGGUGGCGAAGGCGUUCCGCUGGGCCGUUGCUGACGCUGAGGCGCGACAGCGUGGGGAGCAAACAGG